rnacentral:rRNA from 1 species
GGGAUACCAUUUGGAAACAGAUGCUAAUACCGGAUAAAAAGCUACUUUCGCAUGAAAAGAAGUUUAAAAAAAGGCGGCGUAAAGCUGUCGCUAUGGGAUGGCCCGCGGUGCAUUAGCUAGUUGGUAAGGUAAAGGCUUACCAAGGCGAUGAUGCAUAGCCGAGUUGAGAGACUGAUCGGCCACAUUGGGACUGAGACACGGCCCAAACUCCUACGGGAGGCAGCAGUAGGGAAUCUUCCACAAUGGACGCAAGUCUGAUGGAGCAACGCCGCGUGAGUGAAGAAGGUUUUCGGAUCGUAAAGCUCUGUUGUUGGUAAAGAAGGAUAGAGGUAGUAACUGGCCUUUAUUUGACGGUAAUCAACCGGAAAGUCACGGCUAACUACGUGCCAGCAGCCGCGGUAAAU